AUAAAAGAAAAAGAAGGAAAAAAAAGGGGAAUGUGCAUUGUGGAAAAGUUGUUAUCAAAUUUGACUGUUUGGGGUCAUUGAAUGCUUCCGAGUUUUGACAUGUUUCAAAUUGGAUUUCCAGCAAUAUUUUGGGUUUUCCGAUUUUCGGCCUUAUCAGAAAGAUGCCAUUCAGAAAAUUAUUGAGAAAAGGGACUGCUUGGUAGUCAUGGCUACUGGUAGUGGGAAAUCCUUGUGUUACCAGGCACCACCCUUGGUUGUUAGAAAGACUGGGAUAGUUGUUAGCCCUCUAAUAUCAUUUAUGCAAGACCAGCGGGGCAUCAAGGCUGAAUAUCUUGGAAGUGCUCAGAAGGAUUCCACUGUUCAGAGAAAAUUAAAGCCGAGCAGGGUCAAUUUGACAUUUUGUUCAUGACUCCGGAAAAGGCUUGCACAGUUCCUACCAGUUUCUGGUCUAACUUGCUGAAGGAAGGAAUUAGCCUUUUUGCUGUUGAUGAAGCUCAUUGUAUAUCAGAAUGGGGGCAUGAUUUUAGGGUGGAAUACAAGAACUUACACAAUUUACGUGGUGUUCUACUAGAUGUUCCUUUUGUUGGCUUAACUGCGACAGCUAUUGAAAAAUAUCCAAGUCACUUGCGGAAGCAGGAAUUGAGGCUGGAAUGUACCAUGGCCAAAUGGAUAAAAAAUCUCGUGAAGAGUCUCAUAGGUUAAUAUUCUGUCUUGUGUACUUUCAGAAUAUCAAAUGAAUCAUUUCCCUUAUGGUCCUUGUUAUUUGUCAGGGAUGAACUGCAAAUCAUGGUGGCUACAAUUGCUUUUGUCAUGGGCAUAGAUAAGCCUAACAUAAGACAAAUGAUUCAUUAUGGUUGCCCUAAGAGUGUGUGUGGUUCAAGUAUUACUUUAUUAAAAAAGAUUCCAUUCCCAUGGGAAUCAAAGAUACCCAAAGAGAAAGUGGGAAUUGAAAUGAUGGUAUUUUGAUUUCCUGGAAUCAAACUUGUUUAGGAAUAGCUUUUCAAACUUUGAACCAAACAUGGGAAUAUAAUAUUUCCAUCUUAAAAUUCCUAGGAAUUAUUUAUAAUUCCUCCAACCACACACACCCUAAGAGUCUUGAGUGCUACUACCAGGAAAGUGGGCGCUGUGGUAGAGAUGGUAUAGCUUGUGUUUGUUGGCUUUACUACACAAGAAGUGACUUUGCGAAGGGUGACUUUUAUUGCGGAGACCUAAAAACAGUAUGUUUACAUAUCAGGAACAGUAGCUAAUAUUCUACGGUUUAGUGUACAUUGAAGUUGCCACUUCAUGCAUAUUUCACAUUACAAGUUAUAACCAUUAUAUUCCGGCUUCCAAUUUGCCAGGAAACCCAAAAAAGAGAUGUUAUGGAUUCAUUACUCGCUGCUGAACGUUAUUGUGUGCUUGCAACUUGCAGGAGAAAGUUCUUGCUUGAACACUUUGGGGAACAAUAUCCAGCUGAUAGAUGUGGUUUGGCUUUCACUUGUACCCUUCAAUAUAAUCACAGUUUUAGUCAAAUAAAAGCUUAAGCUACAUUAUUAGCCUUCUUUUUCAUUUGCUUGACUUAAGCACCAUUUUUCUUGCCCUGCUAUAACCUAGUAAAAUCCAUUGCAUCUAUUUAACUUGCGAUGCCUGUUAUUUACUUCUCCCUUUUUAAUUUUCUUUGUGUAGUGGGAAUUGUAUAUCAUCUUUGGUUUUGCUCCCCAUUGAAAACAUGGUCUUCUUUCUCUGUUUCUUUGUUCUUUUCUAUAGAUCUUGUCUCUUGAUACCAAGGUUCCUGACAAUUAGACCUUCACACGAAGUGUAACAUGGUCUAACAUGUUACUACCAAGUACCAACCAAUACAAUUUGUCUAACUAUUGUCAGUAACAUUAUUUGAGCAGAAAAGAUGUUAGUUCUUAAGAGUUCUGGUUUAGUACUUUUGUUAAUGACUUGUUAUAGACGGAAAGGACAGGAUCUGCAGCUUUUGAGCUUAUGAACUCUGAAUCACAACGUAGCAAUCUCAUAAAAUAAUAAUGCGAAAAUAAAUAAUUUACUGUCUUCA